rnacentral:lncRNA from 1 species
CAUGUCGAAUUUCCUCAGAACAUCCUUGAGGUAUUUCUCCUGUGAUAUGAAGAUCCAUUGCGUUGUUGACGAAUUUGAAGACCUAAGAAGAAUUUCAGCUCCCCCAUCAUAGACAUCUGAUAUUCUUCACUCAUCAUGUAAGCAAAUUCAUCACCGUAACGUUUUUCAGUACAGCCAAAUAUGAUGUCAUCGACAUAUAUCUGGCACACAAAUAGUUCAUUAUCAUAGGAUUUAGUGAAAAGAGUUGGAUCGAGUGAACCAGGUUUGAAGCCUUUCUUCAUGGGGAAUUCCUUCAAUGUAUCAUACCACGCCCGAGGGGCUUGCUUGAGACCAUAGAGCGCCUUUUUGAGUCUGAAGACUUUGUCUGGAUUCUUUGGAUCCUCAAAACCUGGGGGCUGAGCAACAUAUACUUCUUCCUCAAUCUUACCAUUGAGGAAUGCACUUUUCACAUCCAUUUGAUAUAAGAUAAUUUUAUGAUGAUUAGCAUAAGAAAGUAGUAUUCGAAUAUCUUCAAGUCUAGCAACAGGUGCAAAAGUUUCAUCGAAAUCUAUUCCUUCAACCUGUGUGUAGCCUUGGGCUACAAGUCGUGCCUUAUUCCUCACCACUUGACCAUCCUCAUCUUGCUUGUUUUGUAAAAUCCAAUUGGUGCCGAUGAUAUUGUGCUUGCGAGGAUCUGGUCAUUUGACGAGCUCCCAUACGUCAUUCAGCUUGAAUUGAAGAAGUUCGUCUUGCAUGGCUUGGAUCCACUCCGGUUGCAUGAAAGCCUCAACAACUUUUGAAGGUUAUGUGAUAAACACAAAAGAAAAAUGCCCACAAAAGUUCACUAAGUGUGAAGCUUUUGAGCGAGUGAGAGGACCUGGCGCGUUGAUGUCAUCGAGGAUUUUGUCAAGUUCUACUUCAUUAGCAAUCCUCGGAUGAGCUCAUUGAAGAUUUUGUCUUGGCUGAGGAAUUGGUUCUGGAGCAAUUUCCUCAGGAGCAUCUUCUUGAUUUUCAUCAAUGCUGGGAAUGAUUUCUUCAUCAAUUUCCUCAGUGGGAACAAUGUCUUCAGUAGCUUUGAGCUUUAUUGCUUCCUCAGGAGGCAACUUAUCUGGAUCAGGAGGCAAUUGCUCUCUUUGCGAGCCAUUAGUUUCAUCGAACGACACAUCUACAGUCUCAACAACCUUGUUGUGAUAGGUGUUGAAGACUCUGUAGGUGUGCGAGUCCUUUUCAUAACCGAAAAUAAAACCAUCAUGUGCCUUAGGUGCAAACUUUGAGCUAUGGUGAGGAUCUCUAAUCCAGCAUUUUGCACCGAAGACUUUGAAAUAACUUACAUUGGGUUUCUUGUCAGUGAGGAGUUCAUAUGAGGUUUUCUUGAGGAAUUUGUGAAGAUAUACCAUGUUGAUGAUAUGGCAGGCAGUGUUAAUUGCUUCAGGCCAAAAGCAACGAGGAGUCUGAUAUUCUUGAAGCAUGAUUCUUGCCAUCUCAACCAGAGUCCUGUUCUUCCUUUUGACGACACCAUUCUGUUGAGGAGUAUAAGGAGCAGAUAAGUCGUGAGUAAUACCAAGUUCAUCAAGUCAAGACCAUUGUUUUUGAACUCUGUUCCAUUAUCACUCCUGAUGUGUUUGAUCUUGACGCUGAAAUUAUUCGAGGCCCUUGAGGAAAAUCGUUUGAAGACUUCCUAUACGUCAGUUUUAUAUAAAUGAUAUGCACCCUUGUGUAUCUGGAAUAAUCAUCAACUAUGACAAAGCCAUAUCAAGAUGCUGCAUUUGUUAGUGUAGCAUAAUGAGUAGGUCCAAAGAGAUCCAUGUGAAGCAAUUGAAAUGGACGAGUAAUGGUCAUGGUGGUCUUCGAGGGGUGGUUGGAUCUAGUCAUUUUCCCACUCUCACAAGCACCGCAGAGGUGGUCCUUGAGGAAUUUGACGGAUUCGAUGCUGAUGACAUGCUUCGUCUUCGCGAGCGUGUGCAAAUUCCUCAUGCCUGCAUGACCAAGUCUUCGAUGCCACAGCCACCCUUCUCAGGUUUUUCCUAGUAAGCAAGUGGCUGGUUGAGGACUUGUAGAGAAAUCAACAAAGUACAAAUCCCCUCUUCUAACACCUUCGAAGACUUUUGAUCUGUCAGAUUCCAUGAUGACAACACAUCUAUAUCUUCCAAAGAUAACAAUCAUAUCAAGAUCACAAAGCAUUGAGACUGACAUAAGGGUAAAUCCAAGGGAUUCAAGAAGCAUCACUUUGUCCAUGUGCCUAUCCUUGGAAAUAGCCACUUUGCCAAGUCCCAAUACGUUGCUUUUACCUUUGUCAGCAUAUGUGAUUUGCUUCAGAGGUGAUUAUUCAUCAACAAGGUUUUGUCACCAGUCAUGUGAUGUGUGAAGCCACUAUCAAGAACCCACUCAGUACUCUUGGGUUUGUCAUUCUGUAGAUGAAUUAGUAUAGCUUACCAUCUCAUGUGCUUCAGACUUGAAGAAUAUGAUAUCAAUUUCAUCAGAUAGGAAUUUCAUCAUAAAUAGAAUUAUAAGGACGUGUGAAAUAUUUCUAUUUCAUAAAUAUUAGCUUGUGUCCCAUCAAGCGUUUUCCUCAGGUCUCCAGCAAAUUCUUCAGAUGAUGAUUUUCAUCUGGAGACCUGUCCUGUAGAAGUGAUUAGUUCAAUUUCUUCACCACCAACAUCUGAAGGGGUGGUAAAGCAUUCAUCAUCCUGCGAGCACCAUAUGAGAAAGGGGGCAUUGAAGCUAAUACACUUCUCUUAACAGUAGGGGGGUUAAAGUACUCAAAUGAAUAUGCAGAGAACUGCUUUGAGGAUUUAUGAACAUAAUGAUUUUAAGAAUAACUCUCAUAUUCAUAUUCCUUGUAAUUUCCCUGCAUGUUAGAAGCAUUGGCAUGAGUACGAGCAUAGUUUUGACUAGUUGAGGAUUUUGAUCCUCUUGAAGACUUUGGUCCACGUGAGGAAUUUGAUCUAGGGUUCAAAUUCAUCAUAGGUGGUGUCAUGAGGACAUUCACCUGAAGAUUUUCAUGGAAAAUUUUGGGAACCUAGAUUUUCCUCAGGGGAGGCCCAUUCCCGCAGUUUGUUCCAACAUAUCGAGCAAAUACUUCACCAGAUUGAUUUUUGAAUAGUUUAUAGUUGGAGUCAAAUGACUGAUCUGAGGAAUAGGAUAAUAUACAUGAAAAGCCUGUUAGAUUAGAUGGAUCAAAAGGAGGCCAUGUAGCAGCAACCCAUGAGGUUUUGGGAUACUGCUCAGGUUUCCAAUAUGAUCCAUCAGCAUUCAAUUUUUUCUCGAAGGCAAUUCCUUCUUUCCUUGGGUUCCUGUUCAAGAUCUGCUUUUUGAGCACAUCACAAAUGGUUUGGUGUCCUUUGAGACUUCUGUAUAUGCCUGUCACAAACAAUUCCUUCAGCCCUGCAUUUUCAUCAGUGACAUUUGUGGUUUCCUCAAGUGAGGAAUUUGACACUACAGGAGUAGUUGAAGAAUUUGUAGCAAUAGAAGCAUUUGAUGAUUCUGGUGAAGAACUAGCAGUUUCACGUUCGAUGCAUUUAAGACAUGGAGGAAUGAAUUCAGCUUGAGCAUCACUGAUCUGUUGAGCUAGUAAUGAAUCAUUUUCCAUACGAAGAUCAUCAUGAGAAAUCCUCAGCUUCUCAAGAUCAAGCUUCCUUUGAAGAAAUUCAUAGGAAAGUUUCUCAUGAUCAGCGAGGAGUGUAACAUGAUGAUCUCGAAGAUUAUCAAAUCUGGACUGAAGACUUUUCACAUCUUCAGUGAGGAUUUGGGUAAGAUUCAUUUCGUCAUUCAACAGAUCAUCGCUUCUGUCUAGCAGUUUCUGAAGCUUUUCCACGGCAUUUUGUUGUUUAGUGGCAACUGGGUUUUUUAUAAUAAUCAUUUGAAUCAGAGAAGAAAGCAUCAUUUGGUACCUUUGAACCUUUUUCCAUGAAGCAGCAAUAGGUUGGAGCAAAGUCAUCAGCAUAGUCAUCAGUGUGGAUGGCGUUAUCAUUUUCUUCAAGGUUGAAGAUUGACCUGCUGACGAAUGUUGUUGCAAGUGCAAGGCUAGCCUGUCCAUAUUCGGAGUCUUCAUCAGGACCCUCCUCUUCCACAUUCCUCGGAUUCUGCCGUGGAAUCCAUUUCCUUGCCAAUAAGUGCACGAGCCUUUCUGAAACUAGUCUUCUAGUGUGAUGAGGACUUUGAGGAUGAGGAUUCUGAAGAUUUCUUCUUUUUCUUCGAGUUAUCAGAACUUUCAUCCUUGUAUUGCUUAUUCUUUGAUUCAUUUCCCCAACAAGGACAAUCAGAAUGUAGUGACCUGAUUUCUUGCAUUUGUGUCAGGUUCUUUUCUUGUAGUACCAAAAUGGCCACGUCUUGUAAACUUCUGGAAUUUCCUCACGAGCAUUGCAAGCUCCUGUCCAAAUUCUUCAGGAUCACUAAUGCUACCAUCCGAGUCUUCUUCUUUAGAUGAGGAAAUUGGUUUGGCCUUCAGUUCACGUGGUCUAGAAUAGCUUGGUCCAUAUAGAUCUCUCUUUUGUUCUUGUUGGAAUUCAUGAGUAUUGUGUCUUUCGAGUAUAUCAGCUGGAUCAAGCAUCUUGUAGUUUGGUCUGUCUUGAAUCAUCAGAACUAAAGUAUCAAAUAAAGAAUCCAAAGAUCUUAGCAGUUUCUUCACAACUUCGUGAUUAGUGAUGUCUCGAGCUCCCAGUGCUUGCAGUUCAUUUCAUAUGUCAGUGAGGCGAUCAAAGGUAUCUUUGCAACUUUCAUUGCCAAGCCUCUUGAAGCGAUUGAAGAGAUUGCGAAGAACAUCAACACGAGAAUCACGCUGGGUUGAUACUCCUUCAUUAACUUUGGACACCCUUUCCCAGAUAAGUUUUGCUGAGCCCAACGCACUCACUCUGCCAUACUAGCCCUUGCUCAGAUGGCCACAGAUGAUAUUCUUCGCUUGAGAAUCAAGUUGCAUGAAUUUCUUCACAUCAGCGGCAGAGACAGUAGAAGUGACGAUAGGGAUACCAUGUUCCACAAUAUACCAGAGAUCAUUGUCAAUAGCUUGUAGAUGCAUCUGCAUCUUCGUCUUCCAGUAGGGAAGUCCUUUCCUUCGAAAGUAGGACAUCCUGCAGUAACCUUGAUCAUGGCUGCAGUCGACAUAACUAAAACUCCAGGUGGUUAAACCAAAAUCACAAAGAACAAGGGAGUACCUUGCUCUGAUACCAAUUGAAAGUGCGUUAUAUGGACUAGAGGGGGGUGAAUAGGAGAUUUUUAGAAUUUCAUCACUGAGGAAAUUCCUUUUGAGGAAAUUCCUCACUGAUGGCUAACUUGCAGCGGAAACAGCAAGGGAUCAGGAGUGCAAAGUAUCACUACAACAGAUUCCAAGGUGAAGAAUAUCAAAAAUAGUUUGCACAGUAUGCAGGCACGGAGAAAACAGGUGAGUAUUAACUCGCGUGAAGAAUUUGGGGUUGAGGAAUUUCAGAGAAAGUCUUCUGCAAAUUCUUCAAACAGUGACAGUGAAAACCAUCAACAUACAUGUAACGACCAAGAUGCACUCCUUUCCGAUCUGGGGAUCGAGGCCCCGAAUAGGAAAGAAGCGCAUCUAAGUGUUUCGCAAACGGGUAACACAACACAAAUAGUUACCCAACUGCAUGAGUGCGAAACGCUUAGAUGCGCUUCUUUCCUAUUUCGGGCCUCGAUCCCCAGAUCGGAAAGGACCGCAUCUUGGUUUUUACAAGUUUGGUAUCAGAGCCGACCCUCGCGGUUACAUGGAUGUUUGCGGACAGGUGUGCGGUCAUGUUGUUCAUGACGUUUGUGACCCGUCGUGGAACACGACAUGGUACAAGUACUUGACUGGAUACACAGACAUUUGUGCCAAGAGGGAACACUCUUGUGGCCCGACGAGGACGUCGGUUCCUCUGAGUGGUGGUGUAUGUGAUAGCUUGGCUUAUUAGGGAUGAUAGACUACUCAUAUCAAUAAGGAAUUCCUUCUUUUCUGGGAGCCCAUUCGAACAGAACUCUCAAGUUAAGCGUUCUUGGCUUGGAGUAGUUCUAGGAUGCAUGACCGACCGGGAAGUUGGUCCCGGGUGAGCAUUAGUUAGGACAAAGUGCGGAGAAAAGCCUAGUAUUGAUAUGUGGGGCCAGUCCAGAUCCCGCCAGGAAUAACGACCGCCGGUAAAAUGAUUUAAACAUAUAAGUUGCUUAGAAUUUUCUGUAGUUUCACAAAAACCAACUCUCAUGCAUAAUUAGAUCUAUUUAGUGUGAUGUUUGCAUCGGUUUGCGUGUCGACGUGUUGAAAACGGUUUAGGUCGUAACUAUUUGACCGUAGCUCCGUUCGAGAUGAGCCAUAUAUGUAAAUGGUCUAGAAUGAUGAGUAGAAACACGUGAACCAGUUUGUUUUGCUGUUUAACAAACUUAAAAUGUGAUUAGGACAAAUCUGGACCGAAUUAGAAUUUAGCACGUGGGGUCGUUUCGGAGAUGCUAUAUGUCGUUUCCGGCCUCAUUUCAAAUGCCUAGAUAGGUAGUUUAAUUGCGCUUCACCUCGUGCCAUGUUUAAUCACAUUUAAUAUGGCCGUGUACCUAAUCGGGAUAGAACUAAAUAAUUAACAUGGAAGUUUCAACAAUAUGCAACUCGUUGCAUAUUGAACUUCACUUAAUGUGUAGUGUGUGUUUGUGUGAAUUGUCAUGCCAUGACUUGCAUGUAUUCAGCUCCUCAUGCAUCAUUUGUGUUGUGCAUCAUGUGGUGAAUUCCGUGUGUUGAUUUGAGUUUCUAGUUUGCUUCGGCUAGUUAGAGUUCUGCAGCGUGCCGGAUUGUGAGGACCCGUUUGACUACCUCGGUUCGUCUGCUUCACGGAGGCAUUCUUCUUCCAAGCGGGAUCUCAG